UGGCGGACGGGUGAGUAAUGUCUGGGAACUGCCUGAUGGGAGGGGAUAACUACUGGAAACGGUAGCUAAUACCGCAUAACGUCGCAAGACCAAAGAGGGGACCUUCGGGCCUCUUGCCAUCGGAUGUGCCCAGAUGGGAUUAGCUAGUAGGUGGGGUAAAGGCUCACCUAGGCGACGAUCCCUAGCUGGUCUGAGAGGAUGACCAGCCACACUGGAACUGAGACACGGUCCAG
rnacentral:rRNA from 1 species